rnacentral:rRNA from 1 species
AGAGUUUGAUCCUGGCUCAGGAUGAACGCUGGCGGCGUGCUUAACACAUGCAAGUCGAACGGAGUUAUCAUUUUUGAAGCGAUUAGCUUGCUAAGAGUGGAAAAGUUGAUAACUUAGUGGCGGACGGGUGAGUAACGCGUGGGUAACCUGCCUUACACAGGGGGAUAACACUUAGAAAUAGGUGCUAAUACCGCAUAAGCGCACAGUCCCGCAUGGGACAGAGUGAAAAACAUUAGUGGUGUAAGAUGGACCCGCGUCUGAUUAGCUGGUUGGCGGGGUAACGGCCCACCAAGGCGACGAUCAGUAGCCGGCCUGAGAGGGUGGACGGCCACAUUGGGACUGAGACACGGCCCAAACUCCUACGGGAGGCAGCAGUGGGGGAUAUUGGACAAUGGGGGAAACCCUGAUCCAGCGACGCCGCGUGAGUGAAGAAGUAUUUCGGUAUGUAAAGCUCUAUCAGCAGGGAAGAAAGGAAUGACGGUACCUGAGUAAGAAGCCCCGGCUAACUACGUGCCAGCAGCCGCGGUAAUACGUAGGGGGCAAGCGUUACCCGGAAUUACUGGGUGUAAAGGGAGCGUAGACGGUAAUGCAAGUCUGGAGUGAAAGGCGGGGGCCCAACCCCCGGACUGCUCUGGAAACUGUGUAACUGGAGUGCAGGAGAGGCAGGCGGAAUUCCUAGUGUAGCGGUGAAAUGCGUAGAUAUUAGGAGGAACACCAGUGGCGAAGGCGGCCUGCUGGACUGUAACUGACGUUGAGGCUCGAAAGCGUGGGGAGCAAACAGGAUUAGAUACCCUGGUAGUCCACGCCGUAA